AUCAUUUGCUUCCUCUAGUGAGACUGACCAACAAGCUCUAUUAGCUUUCCAAAAUCUUAUUACAAGUCCCACUCAUUUUUUGGCCAACAAUUGGACCAAAAAUACUUCCUUUUGCUCUUGGUUUGGUGUCACUUGCACUCCAAAAAGGCAAUGGGUUGUGGCCUUGGCUCUUCCUAAUUUGCAUCUUCAAGGCACAAUCUCAACGUCUUUGGCCAAUUUGUCCUUCCUCAGUGUUCUCAAUCUCGAGAACAACAACUUCCGCGGUGGCAUCCCUUAUGAACUUGGCCACUUGCCUCGCUUGCGAGUGAUUGAUAUUCAAAACAAUCAGCUCAACGGAAGUAUACCAACAAGUCUAUUUCAACACCGGAGAGUUCAAGUAAUUUCAUUGGCUUUCAAUGAACUCGGUGGUGAAAUGUGGAAAGGGCCAUGGUAUGUACCCAAACUCAGAGUCUUGGAUCUCACCAACAAUAACCUCACGGGUAUGAUCCCUCCUUCUGUUGGAAAUGCCACAAAAAUGAUGAACUUCAGUUUGUCUGGGAAUAGAGUCAGCGGCAACAUUCCAAAGGAGGUCGGUAAUCUGAGCCAACUUGCAGACUUGUCCUUGACUGACAAUCAAUUAACAGGUUCCAUUCCUGUAGGACUAUUUAAUAUCUCGUCGCUACUUGCCAUAAAUCUGCUAUACAAUAGACUUUCCGGUCCUCUCUUGCUAGAUGAAGGAAUUUUUUUGUCAAAUCUGAAGUUUCUAAGUAUAUCUCGCAACCAGAUUUCUGGUUGCAUUCCUUCCAACAUAUGCCAACUCAGAGAGCUCAAAGUUUUGUCCAUAUCUUUCAACAACAUAACUGGAGACAUACCCAAAAAUAUUGAUUGUUUAUCCAAUCUCCAGGAGUUUUUUAUUCGUCAUAAUUCAAUAAAAGGGACUAUUCCCACUUCAUUGGGAAAUAUUUCAACUCUGCAAUAUCUUUAUUCUGGAAGCAAUCUCAUAGUGGGGCCAAUUCCUCCAGAAUUAGGGAAGCUAUCAAAUUUGAGGGUAUUAACCUUUUCCAAUAAUUCUCUUAUUGGUCAAAUUCCAGAGGCUAUUUUCAACAUAUCUUCUUUGGAAGUGAUUGUUUUCAAUUUCAACAAUCUCUCCGGGAGAUUUCCAACCACUACAGGUCUUCAUCUUCCGAACCUUAAAGUACUUGAGUUGGGAGUCAAUCAGCUGGAAGGGGAAAUUCCAUUGUUCAUAACAAAUGCUUCCAAGCUUCAGAUACUGGCGCUAGAACAUAACUCUCUCACGGGAGCUAUUCCUACUAAUUUGGGGAAUCUUCAUGAGCUGCGAUCACUCAUACUACAUCGUAAUCAACUUACCAAUGAACCAAGAGAGAGUGAGUUGUUAUUCUCCAAUUCUUUGGCGGACUGUAGGAUGUUGCUAUGUAUAGAUGUGGGUGAAAAUCCGUUGAACGGCGUUCUGCCCAAUUCUAUUGGGAAUCUUUCAUCUACUCUUGAAUACUUGAAUAUACAAGAUGCACACAUCAACGGCCUCAUUCCCACAGGUAUAAGCAACAUGAGCAGUCUAAUGACACUAGACUUUCAAGGAAACAACUUGACAGGGAGUAUUCCUUCUGAUGUUGGUAAGCUUAAACAACUCCAAGGUCUGUUUCUAACUAACAAUAAAUUGCAUGGACAUAUUCCAGAGGCGGUAUGCCAUUUAUCUAAUUUGGUUCAAUUAUUUCUAAAUGGUAAUGAGCUCUCUGGAUUAAUUCCAGAAUGCUUAGGAAAUCUUAGCAUGCUACAGAAGCUUUAUUUGGGUUCUAAUAAAUUUUCAUCAAAAUUUCCGUUGAGCCUUUGGAAGAUGAGUGGUCUUCUCUAUCUAAGUGUGUCACAAAAUUCAAUAGAGGGAGAAGUUCCAUCAGAUAUUGGAGGAAUGAAAGCCAUUGUAGAACUAUAUCUUUACAGUAACCACUUUUCAGGAAUGAUACCAACCAGAUUCGGGGAACUCCAAAACCUGCAGUAUCUUGACCUAUCAAACAACUCAUUUUUUGGUCAAAAUUCCAUUUAUCCUUUGCCAACUUGAUAAGCUUAGAAUACUUGGAUUUGCUUUAAAUGUAUUGUCAGGUACUAUUCCUAAGUCUUUGGUAAAAACUCUCAUACCUUAAAAGCAUUAAUGUUCAUUUAAUGAUUUAGAAGGUGAAAUACCGAGUGGUGGCGUUUUUGCAAAUUCAACUCUGCAAUCAUUUAUUCGGAACAAAGGUCUUUGCGGAAUACACAUAUUGGAGAUUCCUGCUUGUGCUAUCAAUAAUCCUGGAAAACAAUCAAAGCUUAAGGAGGUUCUACUAAAAAUUGUUACUCCAGUGGUUAUUGCAUCCUUUUUGAUAUUCUUGUUGGUUUUAAUUUGGAUAAUGAAACAACAGAAGAAAGGAAAGUCCAAAGAUGUUGAACAGGUACUGGAGAUCAGGACUCAUCAUUUAGUUUCUUAUCACGAGAUUCAACGAGCAACAAAUAAUUUUGAUGAAUCCAAUUUAAUUGGUGAGGGAAGCUCUGGUUCUGUGUACAAAGGCACAUUGUUUGGUGGAACUGCAGUGGCCAUUAAGGUUCUAGAUUUGGAAAAUGAGCAAGUAUGCAAAAGGUUUGAUACCGAAUGUGAUGUAAUGAGAAAUGUUAGACACAGAAAUCUUGUUCCAGUGAUUACUACAUGUUCUAAUGACUAUAUAAGAGCCUUUGUUCUGCAAUUUAUUCCCAAUGGAAGUCUUGAGAAUUGGCUCUACAAAGAAGAUCGCCACUUGAACCUUCAUCAAAGAGUCACUGUAAUGCUUGAUGCAGCUAUGGCAGUUGAAUAUCUACAUCAUGGUCAUGUCACUCCAAUAGUUCAUUGUGACCUCAAGCCAGCCAACAUUCUUUUGGAUGAAGAUAUGGUGGCUCAUGUUGGUGAUUUUGGAAUCUCUAAAAUUUUAGCAAUAAGCAAGUCCAUGGCUUAUACCGAGACAUUGGGCACUCCUGGAUACAUUGCACCAGGUAUAAAAAACCUACUCUCUUUGAUUUUCUCUUCUCAUAAUUAAGCCUCUCCAAAUUCUAAAAGUAAAAAGAGCAAGUCUUUAUUUAUGUAGAAUUAUUGUUGUAUUUCAAUUGAAUUAACUUUUUUUUCAAUCCUUUUUUAAGAAUAUGGCUCGGAUGGAAUAGUGUCUGCUAGUGGCGAUGUUUAUAGUUACGGCAUCAUGUUGAUGGAGGUUUUGACGAAAAGAAGGCCAACAGAUGAAGAGAUAUGCAAUGAAAAUCUUGACUUGAGGAAAUGGAUAACACAAUCAUUUUUAGGGAGUAUGAUGGACUUUGUGGAUAUCAAUCUUUUUUCCAAGGAAGAACAGAUCACUUCAAAAAGUGAAAUCUGCAUUGCGUCCAUGAUAGAAUUGGGUUUAGACUGCACAAUGGAAAUGCCAGGAUCAAGAAUAAGCAUGAAAGAAGUAGUGAAGAGGCUUAACAAAAUCAACAACACAUUUCUGGAAACACAUAAGUGAUCAGCAUCUGUUCGGAUGGUGUUCUUUUCUGAGCUGCAAGUUAAUAUGAUGUUUUUGUUUCUUUAGUAAAGUCGUCGUAUAGUACUACUUGGAGUCAUGUAUUGUUUGUAAUUUCAUUUGAGUAUUUGAACCUAUUUUACUUUAUCUAUUUGUAAUUAUGUUUUGAAUGCUUGAAAGAAACCAGAAUGAAAUUAAUAGUCGCUUGACUCCGGUGAGUUUUUAAGAGUUUUUCGUGAGUAUUAUUCCACAAACUUUUUUUUAAAUUAGGGGUUUGUUUUUUUGGAAAUUUGGAUGAUUCUUCAAUUGGGUAUGUCAGAUUUUGCUUAAAGUUAAUGUCUUUAUCAUUUUAUCUGGUAGUAUAUGCUAAAAGGGUUUGUUUCUUGCCAAAAUUUGGGUGAUUCUUCAAAUGGGUAUUUGCAGAUUUUGUUAAAGUUCAUGUCUUCUCUUUCAUCUGAUUGUUUAUGGUAACAAAUGGACUUGAUGAACUGAAGAGCUUGAACUUUUUUAGAAAUUUCACACACAUACACAUGAUCCCUGUGAAUGGAGGAUUGUUGGGCUAAAUCAGCUCAAAGAUACUCUUAAUAUGGUGUUAUAUUGUCCGUUUUAAUCCAAGCCCUCACGGUUUAACUCAAAAAAGUACUACGUCGUUAAUAGAUCCUACAUCUUAUAUGACGCUUCCCAAUCUUUCAGCUACCAAUGUGGUGCUUUGUGUCAUUUGAGAAUUCCCCUUAUUAGAAUUUGACACACACAUACACUUGAUCCCUAUGAAUGGCGGGUUGUUGGGCUAAAUCAGCUCAAAGAUACUCUUAAUAUGGUGUUAUAUUGUCCGUUUUAAUCCAAGCCCUCACGGUUUAACUCAAAAAAGUACUACGUCGUUAAUAGAUCCUACAUCUUAUAUGACGCUUCCCAAUCUUUCAGCUACCAAUGUGGUGCUUUGUGUCAUUUGAGAAUUCCCCUUAUUAGAAUUUGACACACACAUACACUUGAUCCCUAUGAAUGGCGGGUUGUUGGGCUAAAUCAGCUCAAAGAUACUCUUAAUAUGGUGUUAUAUUGUCCGUUUUAAUCCAAGCCCUCACGGUUUAACUCAAAAAAGUACUACGUCGUUAAUAGAUCCUACAUCUUAUAUGACGCUUCCCAAUCUUUCAGCUACCAAUGUGGUGCUUUGUGUCAUUUGAGAAUUCCCCUUAUUAGAAUUUGACACACACAUACACUUGAUCCCUAUGAAUGGCGGGUUGUUGGGCUAAAUCAGCUCAAAGAUACUCUUAGCAUGGUGUGAUAUUGUCCGUUUUAAGCCAAGCCCUCAUGGUUUAACUCAAAAGGUGCUACGUCGUUAAGAGAUCCUUCAUCUUAUAUGUAGCUUCCCAAUCUUUUCAACUGCCAAUGUGUGACUUUGUAACCGCAGAGGAUGAACACAUCUUUAUUCCCGUGUGGAUCCGGGUAUUUACUUUUUAGUGCCUUGUGCCUUAGGUGUUAUGUUCAAAUCGCAUAUGUCCAAGCCUUGGUGGGUAGUUACUUGUUUGAUUCGGGAAUUAACUUUUAGUGCCUUAGGUCUCAGAUUCAAAUCGUACAUGUCCAAGCCUUGGUGGGCAGUUACCUAUGUUGGUGGGAGAUAGUAAAUUCCAUGUGGAAUUGAUUGAGGUGUACACAGGCUGGCCUGGACACUAGAGUUAUCGAAAAAAAGAAUUUUCACCGACUUGAAUUUCAGCAGAUCAAAACUUUUAUAGUUACAAGUAAUUUGUAACAAAAAUUGUGUCAAAGAAAUAGAAACAGUGUCACUGUUUUUCUUGGACUUUUCUGUAUUUGUGUAUUGUUUACUCUCUUCAUAAUGAAGAUUUGACUUUCGGUAGUGUCUAUUUCAUUUUACAGGAAAAUGUAGAUGAAGCAGUAAAGAAACUGAGAGAUGGAGGAAUUGAAGUGUUGGGAUUAGUAUGUCAUGUCUCAAAUGCACAACAGAGGAAGAAUUUGAUAGACAAGACCAUUCAGGUAUGAAUUGAAAUGAUUCUGCCGUAAAUUAACACUUCUUGGUCUGUGCUUGCAUAUCUCGGAGGUCAAUUGCUAUGUUGCUUGGACUCUUCAAAAAUGUCGACGGGUGCGUGUCGGAUCCUCCAAAGAUAGUGUAUUUUUGAAGGAUCCGACACGGGUGUGGCAACAUUUUUGGAGAGUCUGAGCAACUUGGGUCAAUUGUAUGUUAUUUUCUUGGGAAAUGGUUUUUGAUCUAACAAGUUAUGUAAAGCUAGUUGGUUUUUCUGAUGUCUAACUACGGAAAAUGAGAAGUCAAUGCUUACUACUUUGUAUGAUCCAACUUUGUUAAUUGAAAUUUGUAAUUUUUCAGAAAUAUGGGAAACUAGAUGUGGUUGUGUCAAAUGCCGCUGUCAAUCCUUCAGUAGAUGCAAUAUUAGAAACUAAAGCAUCAGUCAUUGACAAGCUGUGGGAUAUCAAUGUCAAGGCCGCUAUACUAUUACUACAAGUAAGUUAAUGAUAAAAAAAUCACGACAACAACGUUGCAAAUGCAUGUGUUACUUCGUCGAGCAUUUAUUGAAUACAUUGAAAGGCAAUGACUAUUUGUUCUAGUAUCACAUAUUUCCAUAUACUACAAAUUCUCGAAUUCCUUUUCUUUUCCUUCAUGUUCUGCUAUUUCGCUCAAUAUUUUGAUCUUUAUACUGUUUAUAGGAUGCAGCUCCUUACCUUAAGAAGGGUUCAUCAGUUGUUCUGAUUUCCUCAAUUUCUGGUUACUCGCCACCAGCUUCAAUGGGUAUGUAUGGAGGGACUAAAACUGCGCUACUCGGACUUACCAAGGUACUAAUGUUUAACUUGGCAUCCAUGGCACAUGAGUAACUAUUAUAUCCUAUUAGUGCUUUCUUCUUAUUGUCUUAUUUGGAAAGCCAGGCUCUUGCAGCUGAAAUGAGUCCAGAUACUCGUGUAAACUGUGUAGCACCGGGUUUUGUACCUACACAUUUUGCUGAUUUCAUCACGAGUAAUGAACAAGUGGCAAGUUCUUAUUAAAUGAAAUCUUACUCAUAGCAAAAUCUUAUAAAUAUUCUCUAUUUACUUACUAACUAGUUGCUGAUUGUGUUUAGAGGAGAGAGAUUGAGGGCAAGACAUUACUCAAUAGGCUUGGAACAACACAAGAUAUGGCCGCUGCUGUUGCUUAUUUGGCUUCUGAUGAUGCUUCUUAUGUAACCGGAGAAACUCUGGUUGUUGCUGGAGGAAUGCCUUCCAGACUUUAACUUCUCGAUUGUAGUGCCUCUCCUUCUGGUUUUAGUUAGCUUGCAUCAUAUAAUUUGUAGAAUGUAAUUUGUAUAACUGUUUAAGUUCAGAUGUUUGUGUUUGUAUAAAUUCGUUAUUUCGAGUUUUAUCAUAUUUGUAUAAUUGAGUAAUACAAUUACUCAAUUAUACAAGUACACACGAAUUAUACAACGAGGUGUGAAUUAUACAAAUUACUGCCCUCUCUCGCUCACCUCUCUCCUCCCUCUCUCAAUCUCGCUCGCCUCUCUCCUCCCUCUCCCAUUCUCUCUCGCCUCUCUCCUCUCCAACCAUGAAGCUACGAAUCGUAAUUAGCAAACUAUAGUUAUGGAGCAUAAUUAAGCUACUUUUGAGUAGCUAUAUGUAAAAAUUUCCCUAGUUUCUAUGACUUUUGUCAAACUAUAUUGUAUAGUCCGAAUUUUCGAAUAUUUUCUUUAUGUAAAUAAAAUAUGACUAUAUUUGUUGUAAAUUAAUUAUUUUAUUGUAUAUAUUUGAAACUAGCCCUUUUUUUUCAAGUUCAUAGCAUAAUAAUUUCCCUUUUCAUUUGAAUUUGGUUAAAUGUAAUAUAUUUUGGAAUUAAAAGGGAAAAAAAAUACUAAUUAAAAAAAUGUAUAUAUCAAAUUACAUAUGACAACGGGUGUAGUGUGUGUCACAGUUUAUUUUCUUUGAGAGAAAACCUUAAAAUUUCUUCCAUUUUGGCUAAUUAGUGAAUGUGUGUUGUGUAACACAGGCUUGGCUUUUAACAAUAUAAUGAAAAUUGAUAGCAAUUUUCUACAUCACUUGCUUCCUCUAUGAGACUGACCAACAAGCUCUAUUAGCUUUCCAAAAUCUUAUUAUUACAAGUCCCACUCAUUUUUUGGCCAACAAUUGGACCAAAAAUACCUCUUUUUGCUCUUGGUUUGGUGUCACUUGCACUCCAAAAAGGCAAAGGGUUGUGGCAUUGGCUCUUCCUAAUUUGCAACUUCAAGGGAUAAUUUCGAUGUCUUUGGCCAAUUUGUCCUUCCUCAGUGUUCUCAAUCUCGAGAACAACAACUUCCGCGGUGGCAUCCCUUAUGAACUUGGCUACUUGCCUCGCUUGCGAGUGAUUGAUAUUCAAAACAAUCAGCUCAACGGAAGUAUACCAACAAGUCUAUUUCAACACCAAGGAGUUCAAGUAAUUUCAUUGGCUUUCAAUGAACUCGGUGGUGAAAUGUGGAAAGGCCUAUGGUAUGUACCCGAACUCAGAGUCUUGGAUCUCACCAACAAUAACCUCACGGGUAUGAUCCCUCCUUCUGUUGGAAAUGCCACAAAAAUGAUGAACUUCAGUUUGUCUGGG
rnacentral:lncRNA from 1 species